rnacentral:rRNA from 1 species
GACGAACGCUGGCGGCGUGCCUAACACAUGCAAGUCGAGCGAGGUAUAUAUACCUAGCGGCGGACGGGUGAGUAACACGUGGGUAACCUACCUCAGAGAGGGGAAUAGCCUUCCGAAAGGAAGAUUAAUACCGCAUAACAUACACAUUUAGCAUUACGAGUGUAUCAAAGGAGUAAUCCGCUUUGAGAUGGGCCCGCGGCGCAUUAGCUAGUUGGUAGAGGUAACGGCUCACCAAGGCGACGAUGCGUAGCCGACCUGAGAGGGUGAUCGGCCACAUUGGAACUGAGACACGGUCCAGACUCCUACGGGAGGCAGCAGUGGGGAAUAUUGCACAAUGGGGGAAACCCUGAUGCAGCAACGCCGCGUGAAUGACGAAGGCCUUCGGGUCGUAAAGUUCUUUGAUGGGGGAUGACAAUGACAGUACCCCAAAAACAAGCCACGGCUAACUACGUG